AUGAGGUGCCAGCCUUACCUUGCUUUGGCACUUGGUGUGGCAGGAGAGCUUGCAGCCUGCAGGAGGGGAGAAGGGGUCAGUGGGGACAUGGCCAUGGGGCUGCCCAUGGGGGCUGGACAGGGUGGCACCCAUGGGGAGACGCAGGCAGCAUCAGCACUGGGCACAGAGCACAGAGAUGCGCACUGCGGGUGCACAGACGCACACACCUUGCACACGUGCACAUACACAGCGAGAUGCAUGCACACCUCAUGCGUGACCCAUCCACCCACGGUGAGUGUGCCAAAGGCACCGUGCCUCCGCUCACCCCAGUGCUCAGAGAUUAACAGCAUAAAUGCAUGCAAACACAGCUUGCGAUCUCUCGCACAUGCACACGUGCGCACACGCAGCUGUGCACAGCUGUGCACACGCACAGUGGGGCUGUAUGGGAUGCUGACCCACCAGGAACGCCAAGCGCUCCCCAGCGUGCCACCCCAAAGGGACAUAAGGGUCCCUGUGCAGCAUGCCCCAUGGCCACACUGCCCCCCCCACCCCCAGGGCCUUGUCCCCCCCGGGAUCAUUUCCUGCAGUGCAGGGAACACAGGAAGCCGCAUUGUUCCUGCGACCCAGAGCAUUUCCUCCCACCACCCCUCGCACGGGGCUCAGCAUGGCCACACACGUGCAGGUGGACACGUCACCGCAUGUGCCACCGGGGCCUCGAGGGGACAGGGCCACGAGCGCCAGCAGGGGCGUGAGCAUCCCACACACGUGAUCCAGGGACAGCACUGCAUGCAUGUAUGGGACACCACUGCACGCUCACUGCACACUUGGCCACGUGCACUCACAACCACACGCCGAAGUGUGCAAAAGCAUCACUGCAUCCUCUUGCUCGCGCACACGUCCCACCCCCUCACCUCGGCAGGUGCUGCCCUGGCGCGUGAUGGCCUGCCGGCAGAUCCCGCACGCCUUCACCUUCUUGAAGCUCGUCAUCUUGAAGGCAUGAGCCGGGGGGGACUCCAGGUCCUGGGGCUGUGGGACACGGGGACAAGUCAGCACAAAGACCCCCGUCUUUUGCCCCGUGCCGAGCUCUGCCCUGCUCAGUUUCCCUCCGGGCUAGGGUCAGCCAACAUCUGCUCUCACUUCCCCGGGGUAGCCCCCACCUUGUGCCUGCCCGGGCCACCACACAGCGAGGGGUGGCAGUUGACCACCCCCGGGGAGACGCGGCCCCUUUAA
rnacentral:lncRNA from 1 species